AGCGAACGCUGGCGGCAGGCUUAACACAUGCAAGUCGAACGGGCGGUAGCAAUACGUCAGUGGCAGACGGGUGAGUAACGCGUGGGAACGUACCUCUUGGUUCGGAACAACCCCAGGGAAACUUGGGCUAAUACCGGAUAAGCCCUUACGGGGAAAGAUUUAUCGCCGAAAGAUCGGCCCGCGUCUGAUUAGCUAGUUGGUGUGGUAACGGCGCACCAAGGCGACGAUCAGUAGCUGGUCUGAGAGGAUGAUCAGCCACAUUGGGACUGAGACACGGCCCAAACUCCUACGGGAGGCAGCAGUGGGGAAUAUUGGACAAUGGGCGCAAGCCUGAUCCAGCCAUGCCGCGUGAGUGAUGAAGG
rnacentral:rRNA from 1 species